rnacentral:rRNA from 1 species
GAGUUUGAUCUUGGCUCAGGACGAACGCUGGCGGCGUGCUUAACACAUGCAAGUCGAACGGUAAGGCUCCAGCUUGCUGGGUACACGAGUGGCGAACGGGUGAGUAACACGUGGUGACCUGCCUGCACUUCGGGAUAAGCCUGGGAAACUGGGUCUAAUACCGGAUAGGACCGCACCGUGAGGGUGUGGUAGGUAAAGUUUUUC